AGUGAACGCUGGCGGUAGGCCUAACACAUGCAAGUCGAACGGCAGCACAGGAGAGCUUGCUCUCUGGGUGGCGAGUGGCGGACGGGUGAGGAAUACAUCGGAAUCUACUCUGUCAUGGGGGAUAACGUAGGGAAACUUACGCUAAUACCGCAUACGACCUACGGGUGAAAGCAGGGGACCUUCGGGCCUUGCGCGAUUGAAUGAGCCGAUGUCGGAUUAGCUAGUUGGCGGGGUAAAGGCCCACCAAGGCGACGAUCCGUAGCUGGUCUGAGAGGAUUAUCAGCCACACUGGAACGGAGACACGGUCCAGACUCCUACGGGAGGCAGCAGUGGGGAAUAUUGGACAAUGGGCGCAAGCCUGAUCCAGCCAUACCGCGUGGGUGAAGAAGGCCUUCGGGUUGUAAAGCCCUUUUGUUGGGAAAGAAAUCCAGCUGGCUAAUACCCGGUUGGGAUGACGGUACCCAAAGAAUAAGCACCGGCUAACUUCGUGCCAGCAGCCGCAGUAA
rnacentral:rRNA from 1 species